AUGGCGCUCUAGGCUCGCCCGCCGCCACCCUGUCGCCGACCCCGUCGCUCCCCCGCCCUACCCACGCCGUCACAGCCCACCACCAACAGCAAUACUACUACUACUAGUAAACAGCGAGGAGGAUCUCCAGAGAGAUUAAUCGCUCCCUCCCUCCCUCGCGGCGUUUCUUGGAUUUGGCUCCGGAGGAGGAAUCCGGAGUGCCCCGUCCGCAUCUCUCGAUCGAAUCGCCGGCCCCGUCGCUUCCGCGGAGCUCCCCCGAUCCCGUCGCCCGGUGCGGUUCGAAUUCCGGCCGAAUUGGCGUUCUUGGCGAUCGGUUUGGAGGCGGGACUGGAUUCUUGAUUGGCUGGCCGGGUUGUCUGUGGGGAGGCUCCGUCGGCCGGGAAUCGCGCCUUCCUCGUCCGGCCAAGACGAAAAAGAGCCGAUGCUGUCGCCAAAUUCGGAGUCUUUUGUGCUGAACUUGCUCAUAUGGUGUUUGCUAAAAUAGAAGAAUCUGCUAAAAGAGGUUGGACGGGGGCUGUACGUGGACAUGAACUCGUUCCAUGGAUUCGGGAGGGAGCAUGUGCCAUGGAACUUUGAGAAGACGGAGAACCAUGUGUACCUCAACAUCGUGCAGUAGCAGAAGCUGGAUCGCCAUGAGCUGGAACGCCCGUUGAAGAAGUCACUCUGCUCACCAUCACAGGAGGGAGGUGCGCUGGCUACGUCUCUAGGGACUGUGUGGCGGGUGUGACCUCUCCCAGCUCCCCGCCUUCGCCCGCGAUGACGAGGACCAGGUCCGCUGCGCCUCCAAUCCCAGAUCAUGGUCGCGCAGGACAUGCUCCAUGACGCUGUGUGUGUGUCGAUCUGAAGCUAUCCUCUAUUGCAUCUAGAGGCUUGUACAAGCCAUAGAUCAAAUCCGACAAGAGAAGAAAUAUGUGUGUCUGAGGAACCAAGACGCCAAAGGUUCAGAGCGGCAUUGUGCUGAAAAAGCCAGGACAAUGUAAGAGGCUUGCACACAAGGAUCUAGGUUUCUCUACGAGCAGCAGAAUCAAUAUCCGAUAGAAUAUAACAAUUACGGACGAGGAGCCGCAACCGUAGCUUGUUGAGAUGUUGCAUAGCUUUCAGAGAACUAGGAAAGUAAUGGUGGACUCUCAUGAAGCACAAAGACAGAUAAUGUUUGAGGCAAAUUCCUUCACCGGCCCUGCGUAUGAGAAAUUCUGCAAUGAUGCCCAGCGGCAUGCUACUCUCAAGCUGGAGGUCGAGCUUAGGAACUGGAGGUCCUGCUUCGUGAGCUACGUCAGUGCUCAGAAGGCGUACAUCGAAUCCCUUGAUGGUUGGUUGUCCAAGUUCAUGCUCACAGACACCAUCCGUUAAUCCCGGGGAUCUCCUUGAUCGCGCUCGACAGGACCAGCGAGUAGCACACUACGCUGUCGACAACCGGAUCCUCCUCACAACUGACUCCGGCAUGGGCUUGCUCGCGCUCGACAGGACCAGCGAGUAGCACACUACGCUGUUGACAACCGGAUCCUCCUCACAACUGACUCCGGCAUGGUACCCAUUCCAACCCAAGAAGACGACUCAAGGGAGGACUGAUCUAUAUGUAGGCAGAUGGAUGAAUUCCAAGCCAUGAGAUAAAGUACCCUAAACCGAACUUACUAUUUAUUUGCAGUUUGCGAGUACACUUGUACUUCCCUGAUUUCUGCCCCAAAUAGCAUGCUUCCAAAUCCAUGUGUAGUUCCCUGCCUGCUAUGUUUCCAAUCAGAUAAUUUUGGCCACCAAAUUUUUUGGUUAUUUAGAUCGCACUUUUCUGUGGGACAAUGCAGAAAAGGUGUGUUUUGAUGCUCCCAAUAUAAAGGGUCAGGCUUUUCUCAUAAUGAUUCAGGGAGAUAAAAUUUCUUUUAGAAUGUUUACCACUUUGGCUUGCUUUUGUAAUGAACCAAGAUGAAUGAUGUUUGCAAAACUGAAGCUUCAACUACAAUGCUAGGUUCUUAGAUGUUAUGAAGUUUCAAGUGUUCUACUGCUAUCUAUUUCCUACUCGCUCCACUUCUUUUGUAAGGCAUAUUUUGAUUUGAUCAGUUAAUGCUUUGAAUAAUAAUUACUCUAUUAAUAGUUGCUGCAUGUGAAUAAGUUAAUAUUGGAUUCAUUUCUUUGGGGAGCUAAGCCAUGUAUUUGCAAUUUUAGUAUUAGUUAACAUAAAAUAGAGAAAUGUCUGGUAGCUUCGUAGGUAGUUACUCCAUUAGUAGGUGGUGCAUGUGAAUAAGUUAAUAUUGGAUUCAUUUCUUUGGGGAGCUAAGCCAUGUAUUUGCAAUUUCAGUAACAUAGUUAGUGUAAAAUAGAUAAAUUUCUGGUAGCUUUGUAGGCAUUGAAGAAAAAACAAUAAAUCCCUGGCUAAAUAUACCAAGGUGAUGUCCACAUAUAGCCUUGGCUUUGUUUGUAAAGAAGCGAGUAGACAUUCUACUUUUGUGUAAGUUAAAGAUAUGCUUUGAUGUAUUUCUUCAGUGAACAACACCGGAUUUUCGUAUGAGUUGCCUAUUUAUAUUUUGAUAUUUACAUAAUGCAUUCACCAAGUAAAUCAGGAAGUAUGCAUCUAUACUGGAAAGGAAGCGCUCAAAUGUGAUGUGCAUCAAAUACUUAGGUCAAUCAGUGCCUUUUUUUGUUGCCCUCAGUGUAUUUUAGUUAUGAUUUUGCAUCCCGACGUGUUUGACAAUCUAGGUACAUUAAUUAUGCUCGUGGUCAUGGUAUGUCUGAUUGUAGGUGCUCUAAAAUGACCUAUACUUAGCAUUUUUUCCUCCAAAUGACUUAAUAUGCUUAGCUAGCUCUAAAAUGACUUACGAAAUGCCAUAUUUUAGCUCCGAAAUGACUUCAUAUGCUUAGCUACUUCCAAAAUGACAUAAUAAACUUAUUAGUUCCAAAAUGACCUUACUUAGCAUUUUUUACACCAAAAUGACUUAGUAUGCUUAGUUAGCUCAAAAAUGACAUAAUAACCAUACUUAGCUCCAAAAUGACCUAUUUUACAGAUAUAAGUUGCAUC